AUGUCUACCAUUAAUCGUCCCUCGUCAGUCCGUGCCAAGAUUGGCUGCAGGCUUGUGGAUAAACUUCCCAGCUCUGCUGAGGGGCUGUUGGGGGGCCGUUUUUACAGAUUUACCUAUGAGGUUGAGGAGAUUUUGGUCAAGAACCCCGUGGUGGAGGAUGUUAAUGCUCACAUCCCCAACAAUGAACCUGCUAAGCAUGACCAAACCCCAAAGAGGAAACGAGAUGAUCCUAAAGAUGAUGAUAGUCGCUCUGAAUCCCCUGAUCGUGACAGAAGUGGCACUUCA
rnacentral:rRNA from 1 species